AGAGUUUGAUCAUGGCUCAGAACGUACGCUGGCGGCACGCCUUAUACAUGCAAGUCGAACGAAGUAGCAAUACUUAGUGGCAGACGGGUGAGUAGCAUGUGGGUAUCUUCCCUUUGGUGAGGAAUAACAAGAGGAAACUUUUGCUAAUACCUCAUAAGUCUUUACGGAGAAAGCUUUAUGCGCCAAUGGAUGAGCCCGCACUCGAUUAGUUUGUUGGUGGGGUAAUGGCCUACCAAGACUUUGAUCAAUAGCUGAUUUGAGAGGAUGAUCAGCCACAUUGGGACUGAGACACGGCCCAAACUCCUACGGGAGGCAGCAGUAGGGAAUCUUGCACAAUGGAGGAAACUCUGAUGCAGCGAUGCCGCGUGAGUGAAGAAGGCCUUUGGGUUGUAAAGCUCUUUCGUCGGGGAAGAAAAUGACUGUACCCGAAUAAGAAGGUCCGGCUAACUUCGUGCCAGCAGCCGCGGGUAAUACGAAGGGACCUAGCGUAGUUCGGAAUUACUGGGCUUAAAGAGUUCG
rnacentral:rRNA from 1 species